UAUUCUACUUAAUGGUAUGAAGGGUUGAGAUCUUUUGCAUGAUUACCUUGUUUUGAUAACAUGUCCAUGUUGAAGAUUGCAUAGACAAAUUCAGAUACAUUAACGUUAUAUGGUAUACUAACAAAGCAUGUCUCAUUUUAUUCUAGAUUACCCUUCUAUGAUUUGAUCAUCGAACUAAAUGUAACACAUCAAAUUUUUAAGACACCAUAAUAUUCUAAAGAACUUACAAAUGCUCUUCUUUGAACUUUGGCUGAGCAGGUACCUAGAAUGUUCGGGUAAGUUUGUUCCUGCCAUUGCAGGGAAACUGUAUCAGAUAUUGUUGAGAGUUCUAUUUAGUUAUUGCCUUAAUAUUUCAAAUGAUGUCCUGACUUAUGUAGGUUUAAUAAGUUUUGCUUAGAUCUCUAUAGUGUAUCUGAGGUUUAAUUCCAUCUUCAUUGCUUUACAAAAACAUGAUGAGUUAACUUGGAUGAAAGAGCUAGAAUUUUUCAAAAGAGCAUGUGAACAAAUUUAUUAUUUUCCCUAGGAAUGUAGGUUAUGAUUUCAUUUUGAUUUUUAUGCAAGGAAAGUCUCUUUGGCUCUUCCACCACGAUGUUGACAACCUUUAUCAUUUUCUCUAUCAAGCUUGGUUUCCAUAAUGAUUGGCUGUGUAGAAUUUCAUCUGGUUACCACCUAAACAAGUUUAUAAUAGCACUCUGCAACUUCAAAAGAUAUAAGUUUAACACUCCUAAGAUUUGCUCAUCGCUAAUGGUGGCUACCCAAAGGUAAUUUCGGUAUUCAACGUGCUCAUAGAACUCGGAAUUUCUAGCAGCUGUCAAGUUACAGAUUCUGAGAAUAUAUCUGAAGAUCGGCAUGCUCCUUUUUUUAAGAAAUAAAAUGGUUACUUGACUAUUUA